UCCACCGCGACUCAACAUGGCGGCCUCCAUGUCAGCGUCAAGGGUGUUCGCCCUCACGCCGCUUCGGGGCAUUCUGUGUGCGAAAAGGCAGCCGAUGGCGUUACCCGUGUGCCCACGGGGGCUACAGACAAGCGCAGUGUGUCUCAAGAGCCAAGCGGGCCGGGUUCGUGUGGGGAAGGGGGAUAAGCCCGUGACGUACGAGCAGGCGAACCCACCACACAAGAUUGCACACCGCAAGGGAUGGCUCUCCCAGCACACGGCCAACUUGGACGGCGAGGUGGGGGCGGCAGAGCGCUCGAUUGAGGACGUGUUCAUCCGCCGCUUCAUGUACGGCACAUUUCACGGCUGCCUGUCGACCGAGGUGGUGGUGAAGAGGCGCGGAAAUGUGCUGGUGGUGUGCGCUGUGCUGAUAACGAGGCUGCCACCCAUGCGCUACUACUUCCUGAUCGGCUACACCGAGACGCUACUCUCAUUCCUCUACAAGUGCCCCGUCAAGCUGGAAGUGCAGGCAGUCCCACAGAAGGUCGUCUACAAAUACCUGUGAAGGGAGUCAACAAAGACACGAAGACACCUGCUAGAGCGGCUGUGUUGAACAAAAGUCAGUUCUCUUUGGUCACAUGGCUGAGCGUAGGCCUCGGCAAGCUUGGAGAGGCCACCAGCAGCAGAUUGACAACGGAUGAAGAUGAAGCUUCCAAUCAAACUCCUCACGAACAUAUUUUUGGUUGCAUCUUCCUUCAAGUGAAACCCAACAAAAAUGCAUUACUGGCUCAUUCAUAUAUUGACUUUAAGAUAAAAAAUAAAAUUUUAUAACCAACUUGACAAGUUUAUGUUUGAGUUUUUUUUCAUUAAAGGGUUUAAGGCUCGGUAUGAACUUGCAGUGUAUAUGGACAAGGAAAAUUAGUGCAGGGAAAUACUAGAAACUGUGAAAUCAGCUUCAACCACAUGGCGAGGUCUAAAUCAGCAAGACUCGGUUGUGCAGUGGGGAUAAUGAAUUGUGGAAUUCAAUGCAAACCAUAAAAAGUGUACAAAUUUGAGCUCAUUUAUAGUGACAGAUAAAUAGAAAAAUCAGCCGGGUCUUGAAAGGGCUGUGUAAUGCACAUCAUUACAAAUUUGUUUAAUGUAGCAGGGUCAAAAUACAGAGGAAUCUGGACAGCGCAGUCAAGAUGCGACUAGAUGGAAGGUGACAAAGAAUGAACAGGACAGAGUCAACCUAUGAACAUUUUACACAAGAGCAUCGAAUAAAAAUCUACAAAUGUUAUAUACAGUACAUACAAGUAUGUCAUUGUUAUAUAUAGAGCUAUGCAACAGGAGUGAAAGGUUUACUAAAAUUUCAAUUGAAAAUGUCUUUAGAUACAAACAGCAGAAGUUCAAAUUGCAUAUUAUAAUUGGAGAGUUUGUGGAAAGUGAAAUAACCUAUUUGAAGAGUUUAGCAUUGGAAGUUUGAACUUUAAUGCAGUUUUACUAAGGUGGGCUAUAAUAUAGAUCAAUGUGCAUUGUACAUCAUGUGCCGUCCCUCCACAUUGCCCGAAAUGAAAAUAAACAAAUGCAUUUGUUGAAGUGUUGAAAUAAUCUCGAUCCGUUGAGACUUCUCUGAUCAAAUGUUUUCUAGCAAUGUGCUGCUUUGGUUGCCUUUUUCAGCUGGCAGUAGUUGCAAUAUAACAGAUGCCGUUGUUGGAUUGAGAUGCCGGGCUUUAAAAAAAAAAGUAUGCACAAUUAUAUCCCACUUAUACUAUUGGCAGUGUCAAACGUCAUAAGAAAUUUCCUUGUGGAACUCCUUCAGUUGGCAGAGCAUAUCAAAAAGCCAUGGAAUUGGACACUACUCGAGUAACAUAAAUAGGCUUCACACAUCCACUUAGAUUAUGCUUCUUGAAUCUUGUGUGGAUGAGAAAUUGAACCGACAUUCUUUGUAAACGGAUUUCUGCAAUUGAAUGUUUUUUGUGCAUUGUUGACAAUGCCGAGACCUCCCAACUUGUUGGACUUUGGG